rnacentral:tRNA from 1 species
CUUGUAGCUCAGUCGGAUAGAGCAACUGCCUUCUAAGCCGUAGGUCGGGAGUUCGAAUCUCUCCAGGCG